rnacentral:rRNA from 1 species
UACGUAGGGGGCAAGCGUUGUCCGGAAUCAUUGGGCGUAAAGCGCGUGUAGGCGGCCAGAAAAGUCCGCUGUGAAAACUCGAGGCUCAACCUCGAGCUGUCGGUGGAAACUUUCUGGCUAGAGUCCGGAAGAGGAGAAUGGAAUUCCUGGUGUAGCGGUGAAAUGCGCAGAUAUCAGGAAGAACACCCGUGGCGAAGGCGGUUCUCUGGGACGGUACUGACGCUGAGACGCGAAAGCGUGGGGAGCGAACAGG